GCUGGGUGAGGUGGUGCACACCUGUAAUCCCAGCUAUGCAGGAGGCUGAGGCAGGAGGAUCGCAAGUUCAAGAUCAAGCUGGGAAAAGCAAGAACCCUGUCCCAA
rnacentral:sRNA from 1 species